CUCUCUCUCUCUCUCUCUCUCUCUCUCACGAAAAUCCCUAAGCCAAAAAUUUCCGCUCCCUACAAUCGCCGUGGCGUCGUCGAUCUCAUCACUGAACUCGUCGCCGUUUCAUCUUGGAUCUCAUCUCCAAUCUCCUCUCCGAUAUUAUCUUCAAGUUGUUUUAGCACGGAAUUGUUCGGUUCCGCUCUUGAUUUAGGUCUUAUGCGGGGACUGGAAACCCUAGCAGUCGUUUUGUUUUUGGGCCGAGAAGUCUGCAAAACCCUAUCUCAGUUCAACUGGUUGCUUAGAGAUUAUCUAAAGGCUCAAUGCUGAGGUUUUGUAGCUCUUCUUCUGAAGUUUAAUUACCUCGCAAAUUUCCCAUUCUCUCUUCGCCCCUAAAUAUUCAUUUUGUGAUUUUGAGCCCCAAAGCUCUUUCAGUUGAUGUUUUAAACAAGAUAUUCACAAUGCUUGUGUUUGUCUAAUUCAGGUGUUGCUUUAGUUAUGAAAAUUUUAGCUUUGUACCUUAAUUAGCAUGUUAUAGCUUUUAUAUCGAUCUGAUGACUGAUUUAAUGUUGAUGUUAUACGCCAUAGCAGCAGCACAAUUAUAGCUUCUUCACGUUUGAUAUUUUCAACUUUACACAUAAGUCUCUCUAUUCAUUCCA